UUGCUUUAGCUCGACGUUCAAGAUGUCGAGUUCUCUGAGAAUUUUGUCGAUCUGAGGAUGGCUGGAGUCUCCCGCUACGAACUCGUGAACUCUGCCGUGGACCUCGAUGACACUCCUUCCAGGUACCAGCUUCCUUAGACCUCUCUCUUUCAUGCUGCUUCUCAGUUCAACUAACUCGUCCUUCUUUCCAGUUGCCGAAUACAAACUCGAGAGAAGCGUGUAUGGAGCAGUAUUUUGAGGCUCCAGAUUGAAUGCCUGCUCGGCGGCAGACGCAGCAUUCUCCAAACUUCCCUGGACCCGGCAGCCUCCAAG
rnacentral:lncRNA from 1 species